UCAGAAGACAGCGACGUGGCUUGGCGCCUUUUUAAAAGGCGCCUGGAAGAUAGCGAAGAGCUGUUCCAGCCACCCGCCACCGCCGUCGCCUAGCUUGCUGCUCGGGACUAUCGAGUUUGACGGACCGGACGGGAAGAGCGUGUGAUUAAAGAAGGAGAAAAAAGAACGUUUGAAGUGACGGCCCGCUGCCGCCGUCGCCCAGCCCGCCUCUGGCUGCAAACCCGCCGCACGGACUCCUGGAGUGCGAUCCGUCUCCUGCUGCCGGCGCUGCUGCAAGGCCGCAGGACUGAGCACAUCAUGAUGCCUCACAUUAUGACAACCCUCGCCGGUCCCCGGCUGGCCAUGGGGGAGGCCAACGGCUGACUCCAGAGGCAGCAACGAGCUCACGCCAUGACAGCCGGGACGCUUAAAUCUGCCAUCCGGUGCCUGUCUCAGUUGAU